AGCAAUUCAAGCUUAAAAGAAUUCAACUAUAGCCAGCACAUACAGUGACAGAAAGCUGCUAGAGAGGUAACACAUAGGAGGGGACAACACAACAUACUCCAAAGUAUCUGGGCACUCAGCCCUCAGCAGCGUAAGCGGCACUAUCAAUUUGUGUCACUAGUGGCUUGAAGUCAUACAUUUUAAAUACUGUGAUUAAGCAGACGGUCCUUCCAGUAUAAAGGUCACAAGGGAUUUAAAAGGCUUGAGUCAAAGGGAACGCCAAUAAAUUCUCAAUGCUGACCAUUUGGAAGAAAAGAGACUCACUUGUUUUCCUGGUCUUCAACAUCUGCAUUCUCAUCAAAUAUCGUGAAAGGUACUGGUGUAGGUGGCAACCCAAAGAAAAUUGAAGGCAUCUGAUUUGGAACAAAACUUGGAGCGUUUUCGUCAGCUACAAAGAGAAAUGGCAUUACCAUGCUGUUCAAAGCACAUUAUUAUAAAUUUGCUAAAGAGAUGACUGCAGUGACAAGAGAACAUGACCUGAGUGGUGGGACUUCCUGAUGAUGGAUGCUGCUUUUCCUGGGACAACUCUUCGUGCAGAUGUGCUCAAUGGUGGGGAGGGUUUUACUUGUGAUGGACCAGGCCAUAUCCAUAGCUUUUGUUGGAUUUGCUGUUUCCAUACCUGGGCUGUGAUGCAGCCAGUCAAUAUACUCUCCACCACAUAUCUAUAGAAGUUUGUCAAAGUAUUAUGUAAAGGGGGUUUCUUCUUUUUUUCUUUGUUACUGUUGGGAAAGGGUUUCUUUGUUUUGCUUAAAGCAGGAAUGUUUCUUUGUUGUGAGAGAGUGCUGGAAGCUGGUUUGGAUUAAAAUUUACUGAUAACGAGAAUGGUAUUCCUUUGUAAACCAAAUGGGGAUUAAUGUUCUUUCUUCUGAGUCUGUAAGCUUUUGUUGACGGGCUUUUGGGCAGAUCGGUGCGAGGGGGUCGAGAGAGAGGACGCAAUGCUGUAAGCUGGGCGAGGAAUGUACCCCAAGCGGGGGUCCAUGGCCUGGAGGUACUCCGAGGAGGGGGGGGGAUGAAGCUAGAAGUGCUUGGUUGACCACUUCGGAGGGUCCUGAGCUGUGAGUCGAGGAGUUCGGAGGGGAUUGAAUGGUGGCCAGAAGACUUCAGUAAUUGAGCUCCAACGGUUGUGCAUGAAGUGGUUUGGACUUUGAUAAGUUUGGCGCCUUUUCUUUAUUUUUUCUCUUCAUAUAUACUGUAUCGUUAUUAAUCACUUAGUUAUAGUAACCUUU